CGCAUUUCUUAGUUCAUUCCUCAUCUUCCAAUUUUAUGAUUCCUUUCUCACUGGCUAUUCAGAUUAGAAUCUGUCUUUUUUCUCCAGCUUAAAUACUUUACCUUUGCAACACCUUUCACAGAGGCAGAAUUCAAUUGAAGAUUGUCUUAUAGUUUUGACAUACACGCAGCUUGGCUGGCAAUGGCUUCCACAAGCGCUCAAAUGGCGUCUGAUUCUUCUCCUUCCAACCUUGGAUGGACUUAUGAUGUGUUCUUGAGUUUUAGAGGGGAAGACACCCGUAACAAUUUCACCAGUCACCUCUAUACCGAUUUGGUUCGAAAAGGCAUUAGAACUUUCAGAGAUGACAAACUUCCGAGAGGAGAAAAAAUUGCGCCAGAGCUUCUAAAUGCUAUUGAAAAAUCAAGAUCUUCCAUUAUUGUUUUCUCAAAAACUUAUGCUGAUUCAAGAUGGUGCCUAGAUGAGCUUGCAAAGAUCAUGGAGUGCAGACAGGAAUAUAGGCAAAAAGUAUUGCCAAUUUUCUACCAUGUGGAUCCAUCGGACGUACGUAAACAAACAGGGAGGUUUGGAGAAGCAUUCACCAGGCAUGAAGAAAAUUGGAAGAACAAGGUACAAAGUUGGAGGGAGGCCUUGACUGAAGCGGGCAAUAUUUCUGGAUGGCAUGUAAAAGAGGGGUAUGAAUCAGAGCAUAUCAACAAUAUUACUACCACCAUCGCCAAUAGCUUGAAUUGUAAACUCUUGUUUGUUGGGGAUAAUUUAGUUGGAAUGGAUUCCCAUUUUAGAAAAAUAAUUUUGGGAUUGAGUAUGGAGUCAAAUGAUGUUCGCAUGGUUGGGAUAUGUGGAAUUGGCGGAAUAGGUAAAACAACCAUUGCUGGAUAUAUAUAUAAUCAAAUUUCUUGGGGAUUUGAAUGUAGUAGCUUCCUUGAAAAAGUUGGAGAGGUUUACAAAAAUAAAGGUCUACUUCGUUUGCAAAAUAAACUUCAUAAUGAUAUCCUAGAGGGAGCAAAUCAAAAGGUAAGCAAUUCUCUCGAAGGAGCCAAUGUGAUAAAAAAUAGUCUUUUAUUUCGAAAGGCUCUUAUUGUUUUUGAUGAUGUUGAUGAUUUGGACCAAUUAGAAUCUUUAGUUGGAGAUCAUUCUUGGUAUGGUAAAGGAAGUAGAAUCAUCAUCACAACUAGAGAUAAACGAUGGCUAACUAAGCUUAAUGUGGAUUACCUAUAUGAGGUUGAAGGACUAAAAUCUGAUGAAGCACUUGAGCUCUUUAGUCAAUAUGCCUUUCGACCAAAUCUUCCAAAAGAGGAUUUUAAAAUUCUCUCAUAUCAUGUGAUAUAUUAUUGUCAAGGUCUUCCAUUAGCUUUGAAAGUUUUGGGUUCUUUUUUAUAUGGCAAGACAAUACGUGAAUGGGAAAGUGAACUACACAAAUUGGAAAAAGAACCUAGAGUGGAAAUUCAAAAUGUGUUUAAAAUAAGCUUUGAUGGAUUAGACCCUACACAAAAGAUGAUACUUCUUGACAUUGCUUGUUUUUUUCAAGGUGAAGAUAGAGACUUUGCUUCAAAAAUAUGGGACAGGUGUGAGUUGUAUGGUGAAACAAAUAUAAGAGUUCUAUGGGAGAAAUGUCUUAUAACUAUUUCACACAAUAGGAUAUAUAUGCAUGGUUUGAUUGAGAAAAUGUGUAGGGAAAUUGUCCGUGAACAACAUCCCAAAGACCCUAGCAAAUGGAGUAGAUUAUGGAAUCCGGAUGAUAUCUAUCGUGCGUUUAUAAGUGAAGAGGGGAUGGAAAAUGUUGAAACCAUUUCUCUAGACUUGUCUAGAUCAAAAGAAAAAUGGUUCACUACAAAAAUAUUUGCCCGUCUGAAGAAAGUGUUUGCCAAGAUGAAGAAACUUAGAUUGCUCAAAGUCUAUUAUAGUCUUGGCAAUGAGCAUAAAAUGUCUCUUCCUAAAGACUUUGAAUUUCCUCCUAAUUUAAACUAUCUUCAUUGGGAAGGUUUAGUGUCUUUGCCUUCAAAUUUUCAUGGAGAGAAGCUUGUUGCAAUCAACUUGAAGUCUAGCAACAUAAAAGAACUUUUGAAAGGGGAGAAGUGUCUUGCAGAAUUGAAGUUCAUUGAUCUAAGUAACUCACAACAGCUCAUCAAAAUACCGAAAUUCUCAAGGAUGCCAAAAUUGGAGAAACUUAAUCUUGUAGGUUGUGUAAGCUUCAGCCAACUUCAUUCAUCUAUUGGUACAUUUUCUGAGAUGAAUUAUUUGACAGAGCUUAAUUUUAGUGAGAGUGGAAUUAGAGAACUCCCAAUCACCAUUGGGUCCUUGAUAGCUCUUGAAACUCUUAAUCUCUCAAAGUGUUCAAAGUUUGAGAAAUUCCCUGAUACUUUCUUUGUGAAUAUGAGACGUUUAAAGGUGCUUGGGUUAUCUCAUAGUGGUAUUAAAGAACUCCCAACCAGCAUUGAGUGCUUAGAGGCUCUUGAAUUACUGGUUCUUCGUAAUUGCUCUAAUUUUGAGAAGUUCCCUGAGAUCCAAAAGAAUAUGGUAAAUCUACUUCAGCUUAAUCUAGAUUAUAGUGGUAUUAAAGAAUUACCUUGCUUGAUAGGUCAUCUUCCUCGACUUCAAUCCUUAGGUCUGAGAAAAUGCAAAAACUUGAGGAGUGUUCCAAGCAGCAUUUUACAGUUGGAAUCCCUGAAAGCCUGCUUUCUCGAAGGUUGUUCAAAUCUAGAGAUUUUUCCGGAGAUCAUGGAGGAUAUGGAACAUUCAAAAGGCCUUUCUUUACUUGAAUCAGCUAUAACAGAGCUGCCAUCAUCAAUUGAACGUCAAAUAUGUGCGGCAAGGUUGUUCUUGAGCGAUUGUGAGAACCUUGAGACUCUUCCAAACAACAUUGGUAUGACGUGUGUUAGUCAUCUUGUUGUUCGUAACUGUCCAAAGCUCCACAAAUUGCCCGACAGUCUGAGAAGCAUGCAGUUAAAAGAACUAGAUGUAAGUGGUUGCAAUCUGAUGGCAGGAGCAAUACCCGAUGAUUUAUGGUGCUUGUUCUCAUUGGAAGAGUUAAAUGUGAGUGGAAACAAUAUUGAUUGCAUACCUGGUGGCAUCAUUAGUCUUUCUCGGUUGCGUAGCCUUAAGAUGAAUCGCUGCUUGAUGCUUACAGAAAUUCCAGAGCUUCCAUCAAGUCUAAGACGGAUAGAAGCAUAUGGUUGUCCACUCCUGGAAACUUUAUCAAGUGAUGCAAAGCAUCCACUCUGGUCCUCUCUUCCCAACGGCUUAAAAUCAGACAUUCAGGAUUAUUUUGAAUGCCCACCAUACUGGAAGUACUACCGUGAAACUAGAGUUGUUAUUCCAGGAAGUAGAGGAAUACCAGAGUGGAUAAGUCAUAAGAGUAUGGGAGAUGAAAUAACAAUAGAUCUCCCAAAGAAUUGGUAUGAAGAUAACAACUUCUUGGGAUUUGCUUUAUUCUCUCAUCAUGUUCCGGUUGAUGAUAUAUGCAAGACAUUAUGUGAUGAUGAUAUUCCAUAUUUUCCUAUUGUUGCAUUUGAUACUACUCUUCAUUUGUUGAUAUCCGAUGGUGAUCAAUUUGGACACGUGAAGGUGAUAGACUAUACUCUGGAGUGUACUCGAGACAUGAAGAAUAACACAUUAUUUGCAGAUCCAGGAUUGAUGGUGGUCUAUUUCCCUCAGAUUGUCAUUUCAAGUGAGUAUCGAUCCAAUAGGUGGAACAAGUUUAAGGCUGGCUUUUCGUCCGUUUUUAAACAGGCUUACCGCAGAGCAAGUUGCAAAGUGGAAAGUUGUGGGAUCCAUCUCAUAUAUGACCAUGGCCAAGAUCACCCUCAACAGAGCCUUCAACUAUUCAAUGUCAAAAGAAGCCAUGAUGAUACAGAGGAUCACCCACAUGUCUAGUUUCCAGCUCCCUCCGCCAAGGCUUUCAGCACUCUCCCUCCCAUCAACUUUGGUUUCGGUCUCUCUUCUCAUAGUUGACGAAUCACAAACCUCACCGGCGCAAUGGGCAAUGAAAUAUACCUGUUGCCGAAAACGCUGAUCGGUCGGAGAUUAAAGCCCUAGAUCAACCAGAAUCUCACUGAAGAACCCUACAGAAAACAGAGCAUCCUUGAGACUUCGAAAACAAGUUCGAGGAGACAUUUUGUUUAGAUGUUCUUCCUUAGCUUGAUUGAGCACACGCUGCAAUUGCGGCCUCAUCUUCUGGACCUUCCCCUCAAUGAAGCCGUCAAAAGAGAGUUUGAAAGUCUCUUCUUAGACAAGCCAAAAUUGAUGAUUUUGAGCGGAUUUGCCCACAAGAACUGAAUGAACAAAAUAUAGAAGCCUUAGUUGCUGAGAAUAAUCUGACAAAUGGAGUUGCUACUGUAGAAGCACGGUGGCUCAGACUGGUCUCAGAAACAACCCAUCUCAGGAUCAAUUACCAAAGAGGAGGAAGAAGCAGUGGAGACCCUGUACACAUUGGUAGGAAUGUUCCCCAACAGUGAUAAGACAGACAAUACGGGUGAAUUGGUUGGUGAAUCAUCAGAAUCAAAGCAUUCAACUUUGCCAGAGGCAAGGGAGAGCCCUGCAUCCGCAUUAGGUCUCUUCU